CCCUUAGAUGUUCUGGGCCGCACGCGCGCUACACUGACGAAUGCAACGAGCUUAUAACCUUGGCCGAAAGGUCUGGGUAAUCUCCAAAUUUCGUCGUGAUGGGGAUAGAUUAUUGCAAUUAUUAAUCUUCAACGAGGAAUGCCUAGUAAGCACGAAUCAUCAGUUCGUGCUGAUUACGUCCCUGCCCUUUGUACACACCGCCCGUCGCUCCUACCGAUGGAUAAUCCGGUGAAUUAUUCGGACCGGCACUCAACCAGGUUUCCUGGAUGAGAGCUGGAAAGUCUUGUGAACCUUAUUAUCUAGAGGAAGGAGAAGUCGUANCA
rnacentral:rRNA from 1 species